GGGGUACAGUUUGCUCUGCUCUCCAGGAUCGACUUCAUUUGACUUAACCCUUUCUUGGGAUCCCAAGCCAUUGAGGAAUCUCGUUCAUCAUGAAGACUGCUGUCGCAAUCCUGAUCCUGUGCAUCGUGAUGCUGGGACUGUGCCUUGCAUAUCCCGAUCCGGAGGCUGAAGCCAGCGGCUUCCACGGAGGCAGAAGGUACUAUAAUAAUCCUAGUGUUUUGAUCCACCAACACCAAGGGGGUCACCGGCCCCACUACCAUCACUGGGGCCACACGCACUUCCUUGACCAGAGGCAUGCGCACGUUGGCCACCACUGAGUUCUCCUCUGGACCUUGGAGCAGCCCAGCAUUGGUGAUUGACUUUGGAGGAGUGGAGUGAGAGCAUGUCCACUGAGAGCAGUAAUCGAGAUGAGAUCCAUCUGGUUGUUGCAAAAUGAACUAGAACUAAGGUAUGUCAUCUGGUGGUUAAAUGACGAACUAGAACUAAGAUAUGCCGUCUGGUGGUUGCAAACUAACUAGAAUUAAGGUAUCCCAUAUGGUCAUUGGAAACUAAACUAGAGCUUAGAGAUACCAUCUGGUGGCUGCAAAACGAACUAGAACCUUAAAGAGAUGCCAUCUGCUGGUUGCACAACGAACUAGAACCUUAAAAAGAUACUAUUUGGUGGUUGCACAACGAACAAGAACUGAGAGAUGCCAUCUGGUGAUUAAAAACUGAACAUGCCAGUUCGUCAGGAGAAAUUUUAACCUGUUGCAAUGAUUUCCAAGACAUAAGCCUCCAUUUCAUGAUUGUUACCUAACUGUUGCUGUUGCUUGUUAUGUUAAUAAAACGAAAUUAAA